rnacentral:ncRNA from 1 species
GCGAGCCGUAUGAAUCGAAAGAUUCACGUACGGUUCUAAGGGCAGUUUGAGUACUUUUCAUGCGUUGAAUCGCAUGAAACAUAUCCUAAGGAAACUCUGUCCACAUGCAGACUCGGUCUGCAUAAUGACCCUGUCUCCACGGAUCUUCUUCUGACCUCUAC